ACCCCGUUGUCUCUCGCCAUAUGGUGGUGCGACGACGGUUCACUUAUUGGCUAUGGUGGCAGAAAAGGUGUGUUUUGUACCGAUGGCUUCGACGAAGCAUCAGUCAAAAUACUCGCUCGCUAUCUUGAAGUGGUUUGGAACAUACGGGCGAUUGUCGCCCCUGUCGGGCGAAAGCGCGACGGAAAACAAGAUCAGUAUUGGCGGUUAUGGAUUCGUUCACAGGAGGAAUUAAAAAAAUUUCUGAGAAUUAUCCUACCCUACAUACCGGUAGCGAGUAUGCUUAAAAAAACCAUUUUACUCUAUAAAGACCCUCAAUUUCAACAACGCUGGAUAUCUGAAGUAGUACAGUAUGGCAAGUUUCCUCUUGCUGUCGUAACGGCAGAGUAUGAGAAGAAAUGCGCUAAAUGGAACUGUUACAGAUAAAGAUAUAGUCCGGACUCUAUGGUGACAUAGAGAAUGAGGCAGAAAUGUCCUCAUCGAUUUUAUAAAAAUAUAAAAUUAGUAACAAAAUCAACCCCAGUAGUCCACGCCCUAAACGAUGUUCAUUUGCUAUGGGGAGUAUCGACCCUCUCCGUGGCGUAGCUAACGCGUUAAAUGAACCGCCUGGGUAGUACGGCCGCAAGGCUAAAACUCAAAGGAAUAGACGGGGACUUGCACAAGCGGUGGAUUGUGUGGUUUAAUUCGAUGGUAAGCGAAGAACCUUACCAGGGUUAGAAAUCUAGGUGAAGGAUAGUAGAAAUAAUAUCCGUCUCACAAGGACUCCUAGACAGGUGCUGCAUGGCUGUCGUCAGUUCGUGAUUUGAAUUGUUCCCUUAAGUGGGGUAACGAACGCAACCCCUGUUGCCUGUUAUAUUUGUCAGGCGAGACCGCCCCGUACUUUGUUUUUAACGGAAUUGAAAAUAAAGUACGGGGAGGAAGGCGGGGAUGACGCCAAGUCCGCAUGGCCCUCUGAUACCCUGGGCUACACACGCAAUACAAUGGCUAUUACAACGCGUCGCGACGGGGCAACCCUGAGCCAAUCGUUAUAAAAAUAGCCCCAGUUCAGAUUGAGGUCUGCAACUCGACCUCAUGAAGUUGGAAUCGCUAGUAAUCGCGGGUCAGCAAACCGCGGUGAAUACGUUCUCAAGUCUUGUACUCACCGCCCGUCAGGUUAGGGGAGCCGGGAAUGCCCGAAAUGCCGCCUAGAGCGGUCCUAAGGCAAGCUCGGUGACAAAAACCAAGUCGUAACAAGGCACGGGUAGCGGAAGCUGCUCGUG
rnacentral:rRNA from 2 species